UCAAUGCAUGUAAAAAUAGAGAAUGGAGUUCUCAUGGCCGAGAAGAUGUUCGGUCAGUUUGAUCAGCUCCAUAAGAACCUGCAGAAGCACUCUGUGGAAUCUGCUCUUCCACAAGUUCCCUCCUGGUACUGGUUAUCAUUCACGCCCAGCAGACUAAUGAAAUUGCUGAAUGAUAAUCUGAAGGAGCUGUUCACUGGGCCGUGCAGAGGUAGUGAACUCGUCUGCAGCCUUUUCCUGGAUGGUCCUGAGCAAGCCAGCUUACUGAAAGCUACCCC